GCGAACGGGUGAGUAAUACAUCGGAACAUGUCCUGUAGUGGGGGAUAGCCCGGCGAAAGCCGGAUUAAUACCGCAUACGAUCUACGGAUGAAAGCGGGGGACCUUCGGGCCUCGCGCUAUAGGGUUGGCCGAUGGCUGAUUAGCUAGUUGGUGGGGUAAAGGCCUACCAAGGCGACGAUCAGUAGCUGGUCUGAGAGGACGACCAGCCACACUGGGACUGAGACACGGCCCAGACUCCUACGGGAGGCAGCAGUGGGGAAUUUUGGACAAUGGGCGAAAGCCUGAUCCAGCAAUGCCGCGUGUGUGAAGAAGGCCUUCGGGUUGUAAAGCACUUUUGUCCGGAAAGAAAUCCUUGGCUCUAAUACAGYCGGGGGAUGACGGUACCGGAAGAAUAAGCACCGGCUAACUACGUGCCAGCAGCCGCGGUAAUACGUAGGGUGCAAGCGUUAAUCGGAAUUACUGGGCGUAAAGCGUGCGCAGGCGGUUUGCUAAGACCGAUGUGAAAUCCCCGGGCUCAACCUGGGAACUGCAUUGGUGACUGGCAGGCUAGAGUAUGGCAGAGGGGGGUAGAAUUCCACGUGUAGCAGUGAAAUGCGUAGAGAUGUGGAGGAAUACCGAUGGCGAAGGCAGCCCCCUGGGCCAAUACUGACGCUCAUGCACGAAAGCGUGGGGGAGCAAACAGGAUUAGAUACCCUGGUAGUCCACGCCCUAAACGAUGUCAACUAGUUGUUGGGGGAUUCAUUUUCCUUAGUAACGUAGCCUAACGCGUGAAGUUGACCGCCUGGGGGAGUACGGUCGCAAGAUUAAAAACUCAAAGGAAUUGGACGGGGACCCGCACAAGCGGUGGGAUUGAUGUGGAUUAAUUCGAUGCAACGCGGAAAACCUUUACUUACCCCUUGGACAUGGUCGGAUUCC
rnacentral:rRNA from 1 species